UACGUAGGGGGCAAGCGUUGUCCGGAUUUAUUGGGCGUAAAGAGCUCGUAGGCGGUUCCGUAAGUCGAGUGUGAAAAAUCUGGGCUCAACCCAGUCGAGCACUCGAUACUGCGGUGACUAGAGUUCGGUAGAGGAGUGUGGAAUUCCUGGUGUAGCGGUGAAAUGCGCAGAUAUCAGGAGGAACACCAACGGCGAAGGCAGCACUCUGGGCCGAUACUGACGCUGAGGAGCGAAAGCGUGGGGAGCAAACAGG
rnacentral:rRNA from 1 species